GAUGAACGCUGGCGGCGUGCCUAAUACAUGCAAGUCGAGCGAACAGACGAGGAGCUUGCUCCUUUGACGUUAGCGGCGGACGGGUGAGUAACACGUAGGUAACCUACCUAUAAGACUGGGAUAACUUCGGGAAACCGGAGCUAAUACCGGAUAAUAUUUCGAACCGCAUGGUUCGAUAGUGAAAGAUGGCUUUGCUAUCACUUAUAGAUGGACCUGCGCCGUAUUAGCUAGUUGGUAAGGUAACGGCUUACCAAGGCAACGAUACGUACCCGACCUGAGAGGGUGAUCGGCCACACUGGAACUGAGACACGGUCCAGACUCCUACGGGAGGCAGCAGUAGGGAAUCUUCCGCAAUGGGCGAAAGCCUGACGGAGCAACGCCGCGUGAGUGAUGAAGGUCUUCGGAUCGUAAAACUCUGUUAUUAGGGAAGAACAAACGUGUAAGUAACUGUGCACGUCUUGACGGUACCUAAUCAGAAAGCCACGGCUAACUACGUG
rnacentral:rRNA from 1 species